AGUGAACGCUGGCGGUAGGCCUAACACAUGCAAGUCGAACGGCAGCACAGUAAGAGCUUGCUCUUACGGGUGGCGAGUGGCGGACGGGUGAGGAAUACAUCGGAAUCUACUUUUUCGUGGGGGAUAACGUAGGGAAACUUACGCUAAUACCGCAUACGACCUACGGGUGAAAGCAGGGGAUCUUCGGACCUUGCGCGAUUGAAUGAGCCGAUGUCGGAUUAGCUAGUUGGCGGGGUAAAGGCCCACCAAGGCGACGAUCCGUAGCUGGUCUGAGAGGAUGAUCGGCCACACUGGAACUGAGACACGGUCCAGACUCCUACGGGAGGCAGCAGUGGGGAAUAUUGGACAAAGGGCGCAAGCCUGAUCCAGCCAUACCGCGUGGGUGAAGAAGGCCUUCGGGUUGUAAAGCCCUUUUGUUGGGAAAGAAAAGCAGCAGGUUAAUACCCCGCUGUUCUGACGGUACCCAAAGAAUAAGCACCGGCUAACUUCGCG
rnacentral:rRNA from 1 species